rnacentral:rRNA from 1 species
UACGUAGGGUGCAAGCGUUGUCCGGAAUUAUUGGGCGUAAAGAGCUCGUAGGCGGUUUGUCGCGUCUGCUGUGAAAGUUGGAGGCUCAACCUCCAGCCUGCAGUGGGUACGGGCAGACUAGAGUGCGGUAGGGGAGAUUGGAAUUCCUGGUGUAGCGGUGGAAUGCGCAGAUAUCAGGAGGAACACCAAUGGCGAAGGCAGAUCUCUGGGCCGUAACUGACGCUCAUGCACGAAAGCGUGGGGAGCAAACAGG